UUGGUUUGAAAUUGGGGAUUUUCAAUAAGGAUUCUAGCAGGCCUGAAGAACAUGUCAAGAUGGAAGGAAGAGCCCAAACCCCUUUCUGAUGAUGGGAUUUCAUUCCCUGUGUUGGAGAAUGCUGUCCAGAGGAGAGAAUAAACAAUUCUCGAAGAGCAAUAGGGCCGGUCGGGGAGACUUCUCAGAGGUGGUGACACUAGAACAGUGGCUUAAUGAUGAGUGGAUACUUCCCAGGUGGAGAAAGUAGGAGCAAGAAGAGUACAUGCCAGGCUUGUAACAGCAUGUUUCUGGGUGCUUGCCCACCCACGGCACCAUACCAAUGAGACUAGGCUAAGUGGCCACACUUGUAUCAUCCAGUUCACUGGACCAGGGAGGGUACUUAUAACCUAUGAGUGAUUAAAAAAGAUUUGCUGUGGAAGUUGAUUCUCUCUUGGGGACUUACAAUUGGGGAAAUUGAUCAAUUUGUGGUGAGGAAUAAAGGGGAAGGGGUGAAGUUAAGACAGAAGUGGACGUUGAAGGAACCUAGCCAGGUGCUAGAGAACAGAGCAAAUGUCUAGACAGGUGGCCCAGGAUAUCUGCAGACAGCCCACAUAUAUCCUGAUACCAACUUCCUAUUGCUUGAAGUGACUGGAGACAGGCUCUAAUUCUUGCUGCCUAUAAGAGCAAAGGGCUUGUUUUGUGUGGCUGUGGUGUAAGGUUUGUGUAGGGGUCAGGAAAGAGAGGUGGGGGCAAAAGACAGGAGAGGCCAGGGCAAGUAGGAUCAUGUACCCCACAUUUAGGAGCUGGCAUUCUGUCCUGAUGGUGAAAAGUUAGUCAGGGAAGGGACAGGAUUCAGAAAUAACACUGUGGUGGCCACUGGCCUGUGGGAAAUAGGGCAAAGAGAAGCUGGAGGUUGGGAAGCUGGUGAGUGGAUGAAGCCUGAGUGAAAAAACACAGUGCCCUAAACCAGGACAGAGAAGGGGAGGAAGCGGCAGGUUGUAGAAUCAUUUUAGAACCGGGAAAGAUCAGACUUAGAGAAGCUGACACCUAGACCUACUACUGCCUGACAAGUGGGUCACAACUGCUUGGCACUUCAACCACCAAGGUGUUCUCAUAGGCACUGGCACAUCUGACCCUCCCCAAUAACCCUACUGGCCAUUUUUAUCUCUACGUUAUUUGUGGAAACCAAGGCGCAGACGGAUCAGUAUUAGGCACCCUAGACAACACUCCCUGGAAGGGAGGAAUGAAGGAGCGAACAGAAGCGGGUACAGCAGACCUGAUCUCUGGUUGGACAAGAAAGCCAGGGUACCUUCUUCAGAAAACACAAACCAUCCCAUCUCAGAGCAAGUUGGGAUCCAAUCUCUUUAUUGUCAGAGUCCCCUCCCUGUGGCUCCCCCUCUCCAAACCUAUAGAAAAAACCCAAGCCUGGGAGUGUCCUGGGGAGGGGAAGCAGAGUGUGGAGAAACCUCUGUGCUCUGCCCUCUGGCCUGGGCAGUCCUGACAGGGAGAGUACGUGAGGAGACAAGGCCAGAACUCCACCUGCAGAGGCUGUGGCACUGGCUGGGAUGUGUGGGGGAGGAGGUGCCUGCUGCCAGCUCUCCUCUGGGACCCGCUGGGGGUGGAAUCCAGGCGUGGGUGCCCAGCUUGAGGCCUGGUACAGUGCAUGCCCUUCUCCUGCCGGUGGCCAUCGCUCCUGUCAGGCUGAGAAAGAGAGAGACAAAGAAGAGACUAAGGGAUUGGGAAGAAGGACGGGUGGAAUGGUGUUUGCUGUUUGCAGACAGAUAUAUAUGCCUGCACUCUGGCUCUGGCCUCAUAAUUUUCUGGCCAUGCAAUCUUGGGCAAGUCUCGGUCCCCUGAGCCUCCAUUUCCUCACGUGAGCCCCACACUCUACCUGUGAACAGACUUAACAAGGUAAAAUUUAGCCUCCCUGGUAAAACAAACCACGAAGCUCCAAGAGGAAAGACUUCACAUAUAGAAUUUCCUAAACUUAACCGUCUGGGAAGCCUUGCUGGAGUAUCUCAGAGCAUGAAUGUGUCAUGUGUAAAGACACCUCUGUUGGGUGGAGGCCUUCCUCCACCCAAGCCAGCCUUACUCUGAACAUGGCCCCCAAAGGAAUGGGGCAGAGUUGGCAGAGCUGGUGUGGCCUGGCUUCCCUCUAGGGUGGGACAGAGCAGGGUGGUGAACACAAUGGCCAGAGACUGGGCUUUGAGGCCACACAAGACUGAGUUCAAAUCAGGUUGGGGCAGCUUCUGGCAUACAGGGCAUUUCCUCCCAAGAGAAUCACAUCCCAGUCCCUAAGCCUGGCACAGUCAUCACCCUCUGAUGAUGAACAGCUCUCUCUCCCUACUAUGCAGAGCUGGGACUGCAGCCACAGGAGGAACCUGGCCAUUUCCCACACGUCAAGGACUGCUAGAACUCUGGGCCUCAGCUAAGGCUGUUCCCUCAGAUGCUUCUCCCUCAAUCCUGAAUAGGCUCAGCUACACCUCACCUCUUCUAUCACACCCCUCUUUGACCUUUGGCUCUGUAGCCCCUAUCAUCCCGCUCACACUGGGAGGGAAUGGUCUGUGUCUUCCUCUACCAGACUCGGAGCUCCUCAAGGGUAAAGACAGGCAACAUGGCUCA
rnacentral:lncRNA from 1 species